ensembl:lncRNA
CCGGAUCAUAGGUCACCAGGAGGAGGAUCCCUAACAGUGAUGCAUGAGCUCUCUGCUGUCACUGGCUAGUCAUCGCCACGAGUUCUCAUGGACAAAGGGCCCGCGGCUCUUGGUGAUCCCAGGAUGCCGUUGGGCUCUGUGAUGUCAUGGAAAUUCUCAGCAGCUCACACACAGGACACGCACUUGUCAAUUAGCUUUGAGCUCACACGUCAAAAGAGACAGGUCUGUGGUUUCACAUUGCCCUUCCGGGAGACAACUCAUCUUGGCCAAUAACCAGCAUUAGCCCGGCCACGUCUUCAGCAGAGCCCUUCCUUCUCCUGAUGGUAAGAGGCUGGAUGGGUUUGUCAUCUCUCGUUUGAAGUACCCAUCAGAACGCUCUCAGGUCAUCUCUACCCACAGCCCCCUGACCACCAAAAUUUGGGAAAACUCCAGAAAUGCAGAUUUGAUUCAAUUCAAUUCAAUGACAUUUAUGAGAUACCUGCUACGCACAAGGAAAUGCAUUAAAAGUUACCGAAGACAUAAGGAUGAAAAAGGCCUGUCCCUUUCCUUCAGGGACUAUAUGGUGAUCUACAGAAAACGACAGACACAAACACAAGUAACUACACAAGACUACAAGACUGUGAGUAGGUGCUGUCAAAGGAGACCAACUCCAGGUUGCAUUUACCAAGCGUGUCCUCGGCCCGGAGCCCGCACUGACCACCUGCAGGCGUGCUUUCAUCUCCUUUCACAGCAACUUCGAGAGGCAGUGUUCUCAUUGAGUCCAUUUCACAGAUGAGGAAGCUGAGACUCAAGAGGCCAAGCCGUUUCCCAAGGUCACACAGCUGCCCACAACUGGGAUUUCACCCGCUAGUGUGUCUCCACUCACUGUUUGAAGACCACUGCUCUAGGCUAGGUCGUCGCUCUCUCGGUGAUGAACCUCGCUUCGGCAGCUCUCUGGCAUCAGACAGUGGAGCUGCUUGCAGAGACCUCCCAGUCCUUUGCUCUUCCUUGCUCACAACCCAGAACAAGCAUCCAGAGGAGCAUUCUAACCUGACCUCUGAUGCGCCACACCGUCCUUUCUUUUGGCCUUCUCUCCUGGUCACCUUCUUUUCCGGCAUCACGAAGCUCCCUCUUUCUCUCCUCUUACUCAUGGUUUCCUCCCAGUUUUCCAAACUCUGGAAACUUCUUCGUUAUUCAGAGAACAUGACUUGGGACUCCACCAUCUUGAGAGAUGAUGGCCAAGAAAUCCAGCUGAUUUCAGUUUAAAGAUUGAGUUUGCGUGCCUGGCCAGCAAGGAGACACUCCAUUUCUGUAAAGGGUUUCGCAGGAAGGAGGGGAGCUGAAUGUUUACUGAGCAGCUACUAGAUGUCUGGAGCUCUCUGUGGAUGCUAAGGGCAUCAUCUCACUCAUUGCUCUCAAGAGCCUCAUAAAACAGGAUCUUAUUACCGCUGUUCCACCAGGAGACUCAGAGAAGAGGUCAGUCACCCACGGCCGAGGAUGAACUCAGGUCGGGUGGGGCUGAGGGGUGGCAAGGCUCACACUGGGCAGGCAGGCCCAGGAGAGAAGAGCCGAUUCUUCCCACAGGGGGCUGUGCAUCCCUCGGGAUGGGCAUCACGGCAGAACAGGUCUCCAGGCAAACAGGCAUCGUUGUGUGAAAGAACAUGGACCAAUCUUCCCAAGGGCUCCUGCACACCCGUCCCAGGAGGAAAUUUCCAAGGCGAAGUCAG